CAGGAAGUCAGAUUGCAGUCAACUGAAGAAUGAGUGGGCAGAUAUUCCUCUUUUUAGUUGAGCUUAGUAACUCCAGUGGAAACUACUCUUUGCAGAAAUUAGACUGUUUAGAGAAUGAAAGAUAAAACAGUAGCUUGAGGGGCAUUCACGGUUGAAAGAGAGUUCUUUUCUGUUGGAGGAAACAUGGGCAGACUUGUUGCUAAGAGAAAGAAAGCAGUGGAGAGGAAGAGCUGAUUAAUGGAGAAAGAAUUUAGGAGAAUAGGAGGAGAAGAAGUCAAGAGGAAAAGCCACAGGGGUCAGUCUCACAAAACAACAUUCUGCCUGAGGUGAAAGGAAACAGGAUAAUCAAUAAGAACACAGAGACAUUUUGAGGGGUGAUGAGUUGAAGAAGCUCUUGAAGUUUACGCGGGGGAUCUUUACUUUCCAGGGGAGCAAGCAAACGUAGCUGACUGGGGAGCAUCUUCCUUACCCGCUGUGGCAGGUGUGCCUCCAUAAAAGUCCUAACCGAAGGGGUUCAGAAGGCCUCCAUGUUGGUGAACACGUCCAGAUGCCGGCAGGGUGGUACACCCAGACAGGGCUUGGGACCUCCGUGCCCCUGCACACCUUGCCCUCUGCAUCUCUUCCAUCCUGCUGUUCCUGAGUCAAGUAAAUAAAUAAAAAAGAAUACAUCAUGCAGAACAUCUUGGAAACACCAGCCCGGGGAAAAGAGAGUCAAAGCUGCAGUCUCAGCUGUGUUUCUGAGGUUGUGCCCACCCAUCCCACGAUAGGGACCCCUGCUCUUCUGAAAUCCCUCCCAAGUUCGGAGGGUCACCUUUGCUGGCCUGCGCAUCUGCUCAGCCUCGGCAUGAAAGUCCACUCUUCACUGGUGAAGGCAGAGCUCCUGAUGCCAGACGAAACCUCAUUUCCUUCUUCCUCCAUCCACUUGCUCUCUGGACUCCAUGUACCGUGUGUCUCUUGUUGGCGCUGGGUCAACACAGGAGCCUGUGAAUGCCUCUUUGGAGAGAAGAAAGUGAGCUGCUCCCUUUGUCCAGCCACUUGGAGGAACCCCAGCAGAGUGGCCAGUCUCCUCCAGUAGCUUAUGGAGAUGCUAAUGCACCUGUUUUUGUUUCUACCUUCUCUCCCCAGGACUCUCUCAACAUUCCCUGAUGAAAAGAGAGCUUGAUAUGUGGUCCCUCUGCCUGACUUCACUGACUCCUUCCUACUGAGCUUCUCUGGUGGGAACUCCCCACCAACCUCCAGAUAGGCCCAUGUAUCUGACUUCCCCUCGAGAUGGGGACCCCUGCUACACGGUAACUAACAUACAGAUAGAGCAUAAUCCAUGCUAUAUUUUUAAUUAUAUCCUUUAAUUAAACCCUAAACUUUUUUUUUUAAAGAUUGGCC
rnacentral:lncRNA from 1 species